rnacentral:rRNA from 1 species
UACGUAGGGGGCUAGCGUUGUCCGGAAUCAUUGGGCGUAAAGCGCGUGUAGGCGGCCCGAUAAGUCCGCUGUGAAAGUCCAGGGCUCAACCCUGGGAUGCCGGUGGAUACUGUCGGGCUCGAGUCCGGAAGAGGCGAGUGGAAUUCCUGGUGUAGCGGUGAAAUGCGCAGAUAUCAGGAGGAACACCAGUGGCGAAGGCAGAUCUCUGGGCCGUAACUGACGCUGAGGAGCGAAAGCAUGGGGAGCGAACAGG